AAACUGAAGGCACCUGAGAUGGACAAGCAGGAUGAUGUUUCAGUUUGAUAAAGCAGAAAUACCAGUUCAGUGUGGAGUGUUUCUGCAUGCUCUUUCUGCUGUAAGCCUGUAUCCCAGUCAUGUUGUGGUGGGAUUUUAGUUCCUGGCCACUUGAAAGUUCUCGUUAUGAAUGUCAGGAAGAAGGAAUUGCAUAUGGGAUGAGCCCAGAAUAUCCUUUUUUACCUGCUUUGGCUCUGAUAACCUCAGGCCCUGGUGCUUGGACUCUGCCCUCCAGCUGAGCUGACUUCCUUGCAGUGAGCUGCAGCAUUUAAAUCCAAGCCACCUGAUGUCCUUCAGUAGCAGACUCUGCUGGGUCUCCUUCAGUCAAAGCUGCUGGGAACUUGAGGAAUGGACUGAAAAAUGCUCUUUUCACUCCUAUCCACUGGAAAUGAUUCAAACUUGUUUUAUUCAGCACAACAUGCUCUUUCUUUUACCCCUAGGAGGAGCAUGUUUUCUAAGGAUGGGUGUUGGAUAAUAUCUCUUAUUUCCUGGGUUUGGAGAGACUUUUCCUUUGCUUACAUAGCUUUCCUUUAAAGCAGAAACACAUCCAGGGCUAGGAAGACAGCAUCCAGGUCAAAGAGUCAUCUUUAAGACUUAAUUACAAGUAUCAGGAGGAAAACAGAGUGAUCCUGCCUUGCAUCUUGCCAAGCCAUAGCACGUUUCACUUUCACAGUGCACACAGAGAUCUGAUCUCAGCUUGUUUGCUCUGGAGAUAAUGUAAGUUUUGCCAGUGACUUUGACAAAGAAAAGCACUUUGCCCAGUAAUUGCUUGUAAUAUGCAGAUAUAACUAGCUAUAAUAACACGUGCUGUAUUUCAAAAAUUGAAAGAACAUGAAAUGCAAAGCCAUAAUACUGAAGGAUUCUGGGGGCUUCACUAGACCCCACUUUUAUACUGGUGAGCUCUGGCAAUGUACAACACUCUUGAAAUGGUGUAAUUAUGAAUUUGGGUCAUUUCAAGGUUGCUUUACCCAAUGUAAAGAAGCCUUUGCAUACCAGGGGAGUGGUGUUUGGGUAUUGUCUUCAAACUCUCUUCUUCUGUAAAGAGCAAUAUUAUAUUGAAGACUGCUCCAGGAGAAGAGACACAGCACAGAAGUGCUUGUGGCAGUGAGUCUGUCCUUGCAUCAGGCUAGGAUGGUCUGUGGUGGUGAGCAGUGAGCACCCUCACCAACCACAUCCCACUGUGUUUGAGCUGGACAUCAUCCUGGACAGUGCUCAAAGUCAACUAUUCAUAAACAUGUUCAUAAACCGCUGGAAAGAGUUUGCAAACUGAAAUUAUUCUUUGUUAAACCCCAUCAAUGAGUGUGAAAGCCUUCCCUAGUCUAGAUUUGGGACUAAGAACUUAAACUGAUAUGCUCUUUGCCUUCCUCUUCCUCUGUUUUGGAAAUAUUCUUCAGCAGAAGGUGAUGAAACUUCAUCACUGAAAGGUGCUGAAGCUUGUGGUGCUUCUGGGAACAAAUUUAUCUGUGCAGGGUGAGGGCAGCUUUCUAGAAAUGCCAAAAUUCAGUCAUUUCUGCUAUUCUGCCUCCAAAGACAUUUAGAAAGACACAAGAAUUACACCUGCUGCCACUCCUGGGAUACACAUUUAGUGGUAAUUCACCCCCCACACACCCAUUUAAAGCCACAUUUCUGAGUCUACUUGUUAAGUGGAAAAGUCUCAGUUUUUAUUUAACUAAACUUCUGUCUUCAGAGAUAGACUUGUAAGUGUAAAAACUGAAGGGAAGAAAAACAAACUUCCUGUCUUGUCUUUUGUGCAGUUUAGUGAAGGAGGGAGUCUGCUCACCACUGAAUAGUUUGGAUGCCCUUUUUUACUUUAAUUGGGUAAAAUGCAUUUGUUUUUUGAGAGUAAAAGAACACAUAAGGUAAAUGAAAGCACUUAUGGCAUGAAUUAAGGAUAUCCAUGUUCACUUACAGCCACUUUUUAAAAUCAAUAAAGCAAAUCAGGAUCCUCUUCUA